rnacentral:rRNA from 1 species
AUGGGUAUGCAGGCUCUGAUGGAUGUCCGGUGCAAGAAUCUUGUCAACCCUGUAUGCGACUGGCUUGGUGAGAUUUAUGACCCCGCCUCCAGGGAAUUUGUGAUUCCGGGACGUGGAAGACUGCCGUUGGACGAGGAAUUCGUGUUCUGCACUUUGGGUGUGCCCCGUGGAGAAAUCAAAGUCCCGUAUGAGGUCAAAAAUAAGAUCAAGGAUACGUUGUUCCCCCGUUUGUUUGCUGGGUUGGAAUCCAUGCCGAACACGACUUUCCUGGCAGAUUCGCUGCAGGCCAUGACAACCCAUGGCGAGGUUUUAAAGAUGAAACUACUCAUGUACCCCAUCUCAGCUGUUUUCGCGCCGACCACUUCUCUCCACCCAAGCAACAAAUGCUUCCCUAUCCUGGCGAAACUGAAAGAUGUGAAGAACAUGAAUUGGUGUAAGUUCAUUGCCGACUUUCUGCAUGAUGCAUUCUCAAACAAGAUGUACCAGAAGGGUUGUCGACUGCAUUUAAUGCUCAUGUACAUCGACUGUCUUGAUCUGUCCAUCGUGGAUUUCACUAGGACAGGAGGCCCGCCACCUACACACAAGUUUGUUGUUUCUGCGUGGACUUACGAUGCUGUCAAGGCUGUGCUUGCUGCAGACAGGGUAACUGAUACCAAAUAUGGAAAACUAUAG